GACGAACGCUGGCGGCGUGCUUAACACAUGCAAGUCGAACGCUGAAGCUCAGCUUUUGUUGGGUGGAUGAGUGGCGAACGGGUGAGUAACACGUGAGUAACCUGCCCCCUUCUUUGGGAUAACGCCCGGAAACGGGUGCUAAUACUGGAUAUUCACUGGUCUUCGCAUGGGGGUUGGUGGAAAGGGUUUUUCUGGUGGGGGAUGGGCUCGCGGCCUAUCAGCUUGUUGGUGGGGUGAUGGCCUACCAAGGCUUUGACGGGUAGCCGGCCUGAGAGGGUGACCGGUCACAUUGGGACUGAGAUACGGCCCAGACUCCUACGGGAGGCAGCAGUGGGGAGUAUUGCACAAUGGGCGCAAGCAUGAUGCAGCGACGCCGCGUGAGGGAUGGAGGCCUUCGGGUUGUGAACCUCUUUCGCUCAUGGUCAAGCCGCAACAAUGGUUGUGGUGAGGGUAGUGGGUAAAGAAGCGCCGGCUAACUACGUG
rnacentral:rRNA from 1 species